rnacentral:tRNA from 1 species
AGCCGGGUAGUAUAGCGGCCAAGUAUCCAGGGCUUUGGCCCCUGGGACCAGGGUUCGAAUCCCUGCCCGGCUA